UGCGGUGGUAAAUGUGGUUGCGGGUCCGGCUGCAGCUGCGGCAGUGGCUGCAACGGGUAAUCUUUCUACCUCUCUGUUUGUUUUCCGAGAAUCUGGAAAAAAGAAAAUCCCAGAAAAUUUCUGCUCUGAUUUGGGUUUUUGACUACAUGGGUUUUUGUUCAGGUGUGGGAUGGCUCCUGAUCUGAGCUACAUGGAGGGGUCCACCACUGAGACCCUCGUGAUGGGAGUUGCUCCCCAGAAGUCGUACGUAUUCUCAUCUCUCAGAAAUGAGAUCCCAAAUUAUUUUUGAAAUAUGUAAUUUGCAGAUUUUGUGGUUAUAAUUUUGGGAGACACGGAGAAACAGAAGUAGAUGGACACCAAACCGACAAUAAAAGUUUUAAAACGACAAUAAAAGGGAAAAGGACUCCGAUCCCUUCCUCCAAUUCAAAUCAGGAAAUUUAUGAUGUUGAAAUUUUUUUCUUUACUAAUUAAUGAAAUCUUUUUGUCAAUCAAAAAAUGAAAGAUAAAUUAGUUUUUUGUUACAAAAAUAUGAUGGGUAAUAAUGUAAUUUUAAAGGUUUAAAUUUUAUUAUUUUUAUUGAAAUAUUACUUGCCGAUGAUAUUAAAAUACCUUUAAUAUUAUAUAAAAAAAUAACCAAAAAAUACCUUCCCAACUCUCCCAGUUCUCUCUCUCUCCUAUUUUUUUUUAAAUGUGUUCAUACAUAUAAAUUGCAAGUAAAUAUUAGUAAUUUUUAAAGUGAGUUUCUGUUUGUAAUCGUUGAAUCUGUAAGGAUUUUCUGAUUUGAUGAUUAGGAGAAAGGGAUAUGCGGAGUGGAUUUAUUCCCAGUAAAAGGAAACAAAAUCAUGAUUUAUGUACGGUUUAUUGUCUGUUUAACAUAAGUUAAAUUUGUCUUUGUUUUGUUUUUAUUGAAACCGCGAUCGGUAUGAUUUAGGGAAGCAUGGAGAGAGAAAGCAUCAUUUAUACACUGACUUAUUGUCUGUUUCGGAGCGCUGUAACAUUUGUUUUGUAAUUUUGAUGUGCAGUCACAUGGAGGCAUCUGAGAUGGGAGUUGCUGCCGAGAACGGAUGCAAGUGUGGAGACAACUGCACCUGCAACCCCUGCAACUGCAAGUGAGAGGGACAGAUGGCACCUUCUGAUGAAGCAAGAGAAUCGCGGGGCUUAUAUGUUUAGCAGUAAUAUAUGUAUGUGUGUGUGUCGUAAUCAUGAAUCAUGAUCCAAAUUUACGAAGGUCGUGUUUUUAGAAUAAAGUGGCCAUGGCUUCUUCUGAGCUGCACGUCCUACUAGGCUGGGAUCUGGUCCUAGGUUAUGGCUGCUUGUUGUCUGUUUGCUUUGUACAUGCAGUAGUCGUAUUUGUGUUUUUAUGUUCGUGUUAACUUGGUGGAUCGUAUUAUGUGUUUCUGAUGAAAUUAAUGAAAAACUUGCUCCAUCUUUUGCUUUAAUUUUUGGGUUAAUUGACAAGGAAAACGAGUGCAAUAAGUUCCAACAACAAAAGUUUCUAAGAUGUUCUGGGGAAAUUUGGAGUACAACAUAUUUCGAUGUUUUAACCUUUUAAGAAUUUGUCAAACAUCCAACGAUUAUCGGAGAAUUUGUGUAGAAAGUCGUAUAUAUGGAGGAGAAAAACACACAAGAAGAAUUAGAUUAGAUCUGUUACUAAUCCAAACAUUUUUAAAAAGGGAUUUUAACAAAAAAAAAAAAAUGGUAUUAUUUAUUUUAACGAAAAAUUAUAUUUUUAUAAUAAAAAAUUAAUAUUAGUACUAUUUAUUUUAUUUUUUUAUUUCGUAUUUAUCGUUAACUUAAAAUUUUUAAAUUAUUUUUAUUAGUUUUUUUUUUUUUAAAAAUAUUAACCAUCUAUUUGGGAUAAUAAUUUAGCCAUUAAUAAGACUCCAAAAAAAUAAUCAUCAAAGUAUUUGGAGAACCAUCAACCCUAUCCUUUAUUUCGUUCCAUGGUUAAAAAAAAAAAAAAGAACAAAAAAGCAGGAACUAGUGGUAAGCUAUGGUUAUUAACCUUUUUUUGGUCCGAAACCGGGAUUGUAAUUUUGUUAUGUCGGUGGUUACGAUCAAGCAGAUCUAACGGCUCGAAAUAUUUCACAUUUUUUCAAAACUCACCCAUCCAAUAUUUAUUGUAUGGUUGUGGUUCAACCACAUUUUUUUGUUGGAAACUCACCCUCGAUCUAAUAUUUAUUGUAUGGUUGUGGUUCACGUUACGCUUUGGACGGGCGAUGUCUUUAUGCUGGGAGCAGCAGCUUUUGGGCACUCCACAUGUUGGUCGAAAAAGUGUCACCGUGACAUCUCAUGUUAGUGUAACAUCUCGGUGAGGACAGUUUCAAUUGUCGAACGAAAAUAUGACGAAGCAUAAGUGCCUUGCCGUAUCAAUGACUCAGCAAUAAGGCUUUGUAAAUUUCAUUCAGUUCAAGAUUGUAACAACAAAUAGAUGGAAUUCAUUAGAAAUCAUGAAUAAUCUUCGUUGCUAGUUUACAAAUCAACACAAACAGGGUCUUUUCAGUCUUUUACAAUGACACGUCCAUAAGGUUUUACUUGGGCGAGAAAUUUCCGUAGAGCUGCCUUCUCACACGGGGUUUGACCAACUUGAGGUUGGAUAGAUUAAAAACUAAAAUACAGGAGGUUUUAGAGUUGGAGUUGACGUGGUCAGACACCCCUAUCCAAAUUUCACAUUUGCUUGACCUGUGAAAUAUCUGAGCAGCUGAGUGUUGCCUUUAUUUCCUUAUCAAGUACCCCUAUCGCUGCUUUGUUAAACAGGUUGACAAUCUGUUAAAAGAAAUUAAUUAGAGCAGAUUAGUAAUCAUUCAUCAUUCAACGGGGAAGGUUGUGGUGAAACUGUCUUCUGGGAUCACCUGCUUAGUUGAGAGGCCUAUUUUCUCCAAAUCGUUCAGCUGAAACAUGCAACGUUCAACAUCACAGUUACUCAAAAACUUAGUUCCAAUUUCGCUGUACCGUUCCAAUUUUAUCGGAUAGUCCAUGAAAAAACAAAUGUAAUUCAAGUUUCAUCUGUUCCUAAACCUUAAUAAACUUGCUUACCGAUUUUAAAGGGCUCGUUUCUCUGAGCUCGAGUAUGUAUUCAGCCAUUUUGACUCCUAUUCCCUGAUUGAUGAACGCGAGGGAAAAAGAAAGUAUCAGAAGGCAAGUAAUUAUUUUAAGAACACACAAAGAUGCAGCAUUUGAUAGGAACCUUUAGCUCCAGCAGCUCUUCCCUGCGGUUGAGAAAACCAGUCGAAAUAUUAGGUUCAUUUGGUAUGAUUGAGUGAAAAAUGCAAGAAACGAAAAAACGAAGAAGCUUCAAAGAGAUGAUAAGAUUUUUACCUGUUGGCUGUGUUCAAGAAGUCAAUAUAAUCUUGAAGUAGGAACUUCUGUGCAAUAAGCGAAAGAAAAACAGAUGAAAAUCACAUUAAAAAGCUAGAACUUAACUAAUAGAGUUGUACGUAAUGAUUGUACCUUCAAGUUUGAUCCGCAAGCAGUGAAUUUAUCAAGUGGGGUGCCUGUCCUUUGGAACAUGUUUUUCGUGCAGGUCGCUAAAGAGGGAGUUUUCGGAGUCUUUGGAUCAAAGAGUAGGGUGCAAUCUCCAUUUGUGAAUAAGGGUUCACUGAGGGGAUUUUGAUUUAUAUUGGUGUUGAUCGGGGAGAGAGCUUUUCUCAAGGAACUUUGAGGUGUGUUUUUCUUCCCGCUGACGGGUGAUGAGUCGUUUGCAAAGUUUUCCUCCUGGUUUGGUGGUUCAGCUAUGCAUAUAUACAAGAAAAUAGUGCAUUUAUUCAAUUUGUUUAGAGUGUUUGAAGGAGCAUAUUAAGUAAUAAAACCAUAUAGAGCUGAAACAUACCAGGUAAACUUGUAUUUGAUUUGAGAACGGAUCCACAAGCUCCAGCAUUGCCCACUUGUUUAUUAUCCUUAGCGGCGAAUUGCAGGCUCUGGAAAGCAAUUCCAACUCAUAAAUACACAAUGACAUAAACAUCAAACGCAAGAUAAACUAAUUCGGAAUGAAUUCAGUAGCUUCUCAUCCCCAAGUGGAACUGUUAAACUCAAACUUUCAAAUAAUAUGCCAUCUCAUGAAUAUCCUAAUGUGAUGAAUAAAGUUUCACAAUAGAGUAAGAAUAAGAAUAUAUUGAAUACACUAUAACGUAGUUCUAAUUUUAUCAUUUUCCAUCCAUGUACUCCCUAAAAUUUAGUAAUUACCUCCAAAUUGGAAUCAACUAGACUUUCAUUGUCGAUUAUGUUCCUGAUAGGUCUUUUGAUUGUCCUGCAAAAAAUUUCAACAAUCAAACAAAAGUGACUAAUGCAUAGCAUGAAGGAUAUACAAUUCAACUAGUUACUUGUCAUUGUACCUUUCUUUCACAGAGCAGGCGCUUCUGUUUGUAUUAACCUUGGAUUUCAUAGAACUGAGGUUGAUGCUGGGUUUCUUGACAUUAGCAAUAGAAGAACUUGGAGAUUUCCCCAACAAGGGAGAAUUGAAUGCUUCAAUUCUUCGCACACUCUUUGUCUUUCCUCUUGAUUCAAGCCAAGUACGGAGUUUGGCUUCCAUGUCAACUUUAACCUUCGGGGUCUCUUGCUUGUGAGCUGAAGGAACAAAGUUGGUAAUGUGGCGUGACCGAGCUGCCAAGCUGACAGUAUGAACAGACUCCUGGUACUCUCCUGGAUUCUAUUAUCAAAGAAAAUUGUUUCCAAUAUAAGUUUCAAAGAAAAAAAAAAGAUAAUAAUAAGUACAGGCCAGACGAAAGCACUUCUAUUCAAACGCUAAUUCAAACUUCUUACCAAGCAAGUAAUCAUCAAAGCCUGACUCAUCCCACCUAGUGAGUCUUGCAAAAUACGAGUCAAUUUACUCUCUCUAUAGGGCACUCGGGAUAAGUUGUUGUUCAGUGCAUAAAUGACAUUUGAUAAUGCAAACAAGGACUGGUUAAUCUUCGCACUCUCUUGGAGACGGAUCCCUUCGUUGCAAGUUCUUCUAUUAUCUUCAUUACCUGCUUGAAAUACACAUGUAGAUUAAAUAAAGAAAAGACAAAGAUCAUGUACUUUAUUUAUAGGGAAAAGUUUAGGAGUGAGAAAAGACCUGCUAAAUCUAUGAGAUUCAACUUCCCAGUAACAGCAUCCCCAGAACCAUCAUCAAGAGUUGAAACGGCAAUCACAAGGACACCAUGGCUCCUACUAGACACAUCAUUGAGACCUGUAUGGGCAGUUUUCCGCCUCUGAAUCCCACAAGAAAAGGCCUCAUAAAACUCAAACAUGGACUUUACAGGGACCCGAGACAGCCCCUUAAGAUGAACCUGCCCAUCUUUGUCAUCCAAAACCGUAAUUUCCUUGGCUUUGAUCUCUAACAGGUCAUAACACCUGUCCAUAUAGACCUCGUAGUAUGAUAGCUCAACUGAGCUUCCUGUGCUCUGGCACAUAGACAGGAUUUUGGACAUGGACAGCUCCAUUAGACCCGGCAUCUCAUCCGUGCCCUGGAACAUAAAAUCCCAUGCUGGAUUAACAUUACAGAAGAAAAUGCUUCAGAACAAACACUAAAAGCUGCAUUUAGUUACUUUUAACCUAUGCUAAUUCACAAAUUUCUUUUCUUUCUGGGGAUAAUUACAGAUGAUUAUCCAGAUUAAUGAUUUAUUAAUCAUAAAAUGCCUUCACUAAUGUUUCAUAUGGGUGGUCAGACGUUGGUGUAGCCACAUUGGGUAGAGCGGAUGUGCUCCCCCUCCCCGCAGUUUAGAUUAGUUUAAAAAUUAAAAUGGAACAUCGAUUAUGUAAAAAGAAACGAAAAAAAAAAGUUCAUAUCUUUGGAGAAUUCAAAUUCAAAACUGAAUUUUUGCCAAAAGAAGUAAAAAAAAUUUCAAACCUGUAUAGUGUAAGUCUUUCCACUUCCAGUAGCUCCGUAGGCGAACACCGUCGCAUUGCAGCCAUGAAAGAGUCCCGGAAUCAAGGGGCAAACUUCUCUACUGAAGAUCCGGCCAACAUUGUUAUCCUCCGGGGCAAAGAAGGAGUCUAACCGAUAGCACUCGUUUCGGCUACACCCCGAAAAACAAAAUCAGGAGUCACCAUCAAAACCCAGCUUCCCAAAUCAAGAAAGCCAAAAUUCAUCUCCGAAUUGGCUGACAGAAAAGCAAGAAAAUUACUCACCUUGUCACUUUAUCUUUGAGAUGAACAACCACUUCCUCGGUCGCAAACUCGGAUUCUUUUUCGAUAACGGAAGCGCACGGCGUCGGAUCUCUGUUACCGUCAGCGAUCUCUUGGGGAAGAAAAGGGCGCACCCGAGCGAUCACCCUGACCUUCGAAAUUGAACUGGGGUUCGUAGAUUUUGCUGGAGUUGCAGAAGAACUGUCAAGAGCUCGACCCACCUCCAUUGGAACAAAGGAAAGAGCUUUAGCUUGGAUUUCAAGUGAGAGAGAGAAUUGGGAAUUUGCAGAACGGUCUGUAACUGAAAGAUGGAGAUUAAGAGGAGGUCUGAAACUAUUUGUCGAACGUUGGGGCUUUUUCAGUUUGAAUUUUUGGAUUGGGUGCGGACUGUGCCGUUGGGCCUCGUGUGUGGUGGGGGCCUAUUUCUUACUCCUUCGGAAUGUUUGCUGUUUAGGAUGAGAGAUUUUUUAGUAUAACCGCUAUACGGAUGGGACGUGUUAUUAUACAAAUGAUGAGAUAUAAAUUUUUGUGUUUUGACUGUCGAACGUGGUUUGUACCCAUGUUGAGUCAAGUGACAUCUAAAUGUAGGAAGCCCAUUGUCGAACGUGGUUUGUACCCAUGUUGAGUCAAGUGACAUCUAAAUGUAGGAAGCCCAUUAUUUAUGAGCAAGUAGGACAGUGUAAUUAUACAAAUGAUGAGAUAUAAAUUUUUGUAUUUUGACUGUCGAACGUGGUUUGUACCCAUGUUGAGUCAAGUGACAUCUAAAUGUAGGAAGCCCAUUAUUUAUGAGCAAGUCGGACAGUGUAAUUAUUUCGACUAACACGUACAAGAACUAGUUCUUUUUUUUUUUUUUUGGGAGGGGGUGGGGUUAGCCUUACAAAGGGUUAGUAAAUAGUGUGGUUCAAAUUCGCUUUUAGCGAGAAUUGAACCUAAGACCUUUUAUUUAUAGGUGAAGGUGAAUACCACUAGAUCGUAGUACUAAGUGGCAUCAAUAACUACUUUCUAAACAAUGAUAAAUUCUUCCCCGUUGCUUGUUGAGAUCAAAUGAGGCCCAUAGUAAGUAUGGUCGUAUUGUCUUUGCAUUAGAAGAAAGACUUUUAUGAUAUAAGUAUACACUAUCUUGACAUUUGGUGUCAAUACUAUAAAAACAUGUGUAAAUUUUUAUUUAUAGCAUCGUAUCAUUAACAUAAUUUGUUGAUAGUAUAACUAGGAUUUGGAUUUCGGAUCCAAAUUGUAGGAAUUCUAGAAAUUCUCACAUCUUAAUUGUUUAUCGUACAUCAUGCAGUCAGAAAUUAUUUUGAAUUUAUUUAUUUAAAACUAAACAUAAAUAAUAAUGAACAUUAAAUGCACAAUAUACGAUAAACGAUCAUGAUGUAAGGAUUUCUGAAAACACCACAAAAAAGAUCCGGUGGAUUCUCAUCCGUAUAACCAUGCCAUCAAGUUGCUCUCAUGAAUUUUCGAAGUAAAAAAAGCUGCUCUCAUGAAUUUGGUUUGUAUAUGGGCCCCCACCAUGGACCCACAACUUGUAAGACAAAGCCGCAUAUGACCGGCGGAGGGAAACUCUCUCCCAACCAGGCCCAAAUGGCCCCCUCGUCAGAGUUUCAAUUACCCAAACGUUUGAGGACCUGUCAGCAAGGCGGCGCAAAUAUGUGAAGGGUUUUAGACAAAGACCGUAAUUGUAUAUGCGUUAAACCCUAAACCCCCAAAAUUGUGGGAAAUCACGAAGAUGGAGAAGGGCAUGCUGUCUGCAAACUUGGAGGGUCUUCCCGAAGAAGACAAGCACAGAAUGGCCACCUUGAUCGACCAACUCCAGAUUCGCGACAGGUUUUUCUGAUUUUUUUUUUAAAUGCAGUGUUUUUUUGUAAUUUGUUCUCAGUAAUUUGUGAUUAGUGAGGCAUGUUCUUGAUACGGUGCAUGAUAGAUUGAAGUCUUAGAAAAAUACCCACAAAAUUAAAUGGUUAAUUGUUAGCAGGAAAUUUGAAACUACGAUGUGAUUCCAAUGUAAUCAAGUAUAUGUUUUGAAAUUUUGAAAACCGAACCGAACCGGAUAUAUGUCUUGGGUUUGGCUCAUGGUUUUGAUGAUGAACUGGCCCAAACCGAACUGUGCCCAUCCCUACUGAUUUCGGUUGUGUUUGUCCAAAAAAUGCAGUCUGAGGAUGUAUAAUUCAUUGGUGGAGAGAUGCUUUACCGACUGCGUAGACACCUUUUAUCGCAAAGCGCUGACGAAGCAAGAGGAUACGUGCGUUCGUAGGUGCGCUGAGAAGUUCCUCAAGCACUCGAUGCGCGUUGGCAUGAGGUUUGCAGAGCUUAAUCAAGGAGCGGCUACUCAAGAUUAAGCUAAGCUCUAUGUAUGAAUCAUUUUUUGGUAUGGAAGGUCUUGGAAAUCUUUCGAGUCGGUUUACGGAAGUUGCAAUUUGUUUAGCCUUGAUUCUAGAAUUGUGUUUCUUACACUGAUUAGAUUCGUACAUUUUCAAAAGAAAAAAAAUAUUCAUGGUGAGGUUUUACAGUUAGCUGGAACUGGAUAUGAAUUGGUUAUGAUUUAUGAUUUUGCCCUUUUAUUCGCGUAUCAUAUCUGGUGUGGUAAAUUCGUUGUGUACACGUAGACUGUGAUUGAAAGUUUAGGAGGAACGGCUCCUUGCCUCUGCAGCAUUGCAAGUGUAGAGAUUGAGAUUGUGUAGUUUUGUUCAUUGAUGAAGUCCCGACUGCGAAAAAAUGAAUAUAGGAUUUGGGAUUGAUAGACUUUGAUGCAACCCUUCAUUCUUGGUAUACAGAUCCUUCCAUUCUUCCCCUUAAUUUAGAACUUGACUUCGGUUGGCAGUGAUCUUGAUAGUGAGGCAACCAAGUGAUUUAGAUUAGAUGAGAAGAAAAUUGGUUUGUAAAAUCAC
rnacentral:lncRNA from 1 species